AGAACUCACCUGGGGAGCUUACGGUUUUUCUAGAGCAUCUACCAUGUCCAUCCUGUCGCUAUUUUGCAUCGUCAUGAGCUUAAGCAUCUAUAGUAUUUGCAUCCCGGAUUAGAAGAAGGCAGCAUUGUUGACACGGACCUGUCAGCGCUUAUUUUCCGGAGACGUGGCACGAGAUGGAGCACAGCGCACGAAGGCAUCACUGAUGUUACAAGGAUCUGCGGGCUUCGUAGUUAACAAUAUUGUUAGUAGCAAGCUGUGGUGGUUGGUAAUACAUUGUGAAAUGAGGAGUGGAAUCAACUGCCAAAAAUGAUAAACAAUCGUUUUGUCUAAAUCGGAAAUUUCGAUGACUAAGUGCCAACGCUGCAAGUGACUUGUCUUGCCACGUUCCUCAGUCGACAUCAUCGUCCACUAGAGGUUCCUUCCGUGUGUAUUUUGCCACUUUUACAUAGCUGAAAGAAGCUCUACGCAGUGAAGCUGCAGUGCUCCAUUAAAUGUUCAUAUUAGGACUUUGGAGACAUACCGACACAUUUUAUUUACUUUUUGAUUACCCUAACUCAUCCCGGACUGCAUUGUUGAACACCCUGUAUAUGAAGUGACGGACUUGCACAGUAAAUCAAAUGGAAGCAUCCCUUAGAAAUACGCUUGUUUUGGUGCCUAUAUCCCAACUCUUUUUUUUUUCAUGUGUACAGAAGCCUAAUAUAUGAAGAAUUUAUUUUGCCUUUGGCACCGGAAUCAUUCAAGAGAACAAAACGACUCUGCAAAUCCUCCGUUCGGUGAUUUACCAAUGAUCUAAGUACAGAGAAACCUCGAAAUCAGUAAUAAUACUACUUGGCCCGGUAAGAUUGUAUGCUUGCACAAUUGUGCGCUUGAAGACCGGAACACCACCCUCAUCGCAAUAAAGUAUUACGAAUGAAA
rnacentral:lncRNA from 1 species